GAUGAAACCACAAGAUCUCCACAUCUCUAUAAGAUACCCAUAUCCUCCCCCUAUUCUUCAAAUGUGCAGGCAACAAUAACCGCACCCAACUGUCCGCUCUCAUCUCCCUCCUUCUACAUAUGAAAACCCUAGUUCCAUAGACACAAACAAAUCACCAGACAUCUUCAUCCCCUUCAAAUGGAACCCUAAUACACUCAAAUGAGAACUAAAACAUCAUCAUCCUCACUGAAAUACACACACCAAACAAACCUCUCCACUCCCUCGUUUCCUCUCUCUCCCUCCAACGAAGACACACGGCCGGCUGCCGGUCGUAUUACCGGCGGCGGUUGUUCCAGCCGACGACAGCACCCCCCCUUCGAUCCAGAAACGGACCGCCAUCACCACCACCGUCCGGUGGUGACGCGACUACAAGACAGGAGAGAGAGAGACCAAGACAGGAGAGAGAGAGAGAGACUGAGACAAGGAGAGAGAGACCGAGAAAAAAGAGAAUUGGAGAAGAAGCGGCACCGCCGCUAACGGCGGUGGCAGGGGUGGCGGCGACGUUGGAGUAGACAGCGGUGUUGCUUUGUCAACAGAUUUUUCCGAUGGGUUCGGGUUUUCAGGUUCAGUCUCGUCUCAGAUCGGGUUCGGUUAAGCUCAGUGGAGGUUCGGGUCAGACUCGGCUCGGUACGAGUCAACUCAGUCAUCAGAAGCCGAUCAACUCAGUCGGUUGGGGUCAGCCGGUUCGGGUCAAGCGGCUAGAUCAAGACGGUUCG